GUGCUCACUUUGGUAGCACAUGUACUAAAAUUGGAACAAUACAGAGAAGAUUGGCAUGGCCACUGCACAAGGAUGACACGCAAAUUCAUGAAGCAUUCCAUAUUUUU
ensembl:snRNA U6 U6 spliceosomal RNA